UACGUAGGGUGCAAGCGUUGUCCGGAAUUAUUGGGCGUAAAGAGCUCGUAGGCGGUUUGUCGCGUCUGCUGUGAAAAUCCAGGGCUUAACCCUGGACCUGCAGUGGGUACGGGCAGACUAGAGUGCGGUAGGGGAGAUCGGAAUUCCUGGUGUAGCGGUGAAAUGCGUAGAUAUCUGGAGGAACACCGGUGGCGAAGGCGGCAUCCUGGACCGACACUGACGCUGAGGCGCGAAAGCUAGGGUAGCAAACGGG
rnacentral:rRNA from 1 species